rnacentral:rRNA from 1 species
GAUGAACGCUGGCGGCGUGCCUAACACAUGCAAGUCGAACGGAGUCCAGCCUUUAAGACCUUCGGGUCAAAGAGGGGAAGACUGAGUGGCGGACGGGUGAGUAACACGUGGGCAACCUGGCUCAUAGAGGGGGAUAACAGAGAGAAAUUUCUGCUAUUAUCGCACAAGCAGACCCUGCGGCAUGGCAGACGGUGAAAAGAGAAUCGCUAUGAGAUGGACCCGCGUCUGAUUAGCCAGGUGGCAGGGUAAGAGCCUACCAAAGCGACGAUCAGUAGCCGAGCUGGGAGGAUGAACCGCCACAUUGGGGCUGAGACACAGCCCAAACUCCUACGGGAGGCAGGAGAGGGGGAUAUUGCACAAUGGGGGGAACCCUGAUGCAGCGACGCCGCGUGAGUGAAGAAGUAUGUCGGUAUGUAAAGCUCUAUCAGCAGGGAAGAUAAUGACGGUACCUGAUUAAGAAGCCCCGGCUAACUACGUG